rfam:Thermacetogenium phaeum DSM 12270, complete genome.
UAGACUGAUAGCAAGGUUCCGGAUGCUCAGGCAGCAUUCGAGUUUGCUCUCACUGCCACUUUACCAGCGUUAGCAGGUGCUAACAUGAUUUAUGGCAUGG